CCUGUUUAACAAAAACAUGUCUUUUUGAGUUAUUUUAAAAGUCUGACCUGCCCACUGAAUUUAUUUAAAUGGCCGCAGUAUUUUAACUGUGCAAAGGUAGCAUAAUCAUUAGUCUUUUAAUUGAAGGCUGGUAUGAACGGUUGGACGAAGUAUAAGCUGUUUCAUGUAAAUUUAUAAUAGAAUUUUAUAUUUUAGUUAAAAAGCUAAGAUUUAAUUAAAAGACGAGAAGACCCUAUAAAUCUUUAUAUUUUAUGUUAUUUAAGUUUUAUGGAUUUUUUUUAUUUUUUUAAUUUAAAAUAUUUUGUUGGGGUGAUAUUAAAAUUUAAUUAACUUUUAAUUAUUUAAAAUCAUUAAUUUAUGAAUUAUUGAUCCGUUAAUAGCGAUUAUAAGAUUAAGUUACUUUAGGGAUAACAGCGUAAUUUUUUUGGAGAGUUCUUAUCGAUAAAAAAGUUUGCGACCUCGAUGUUGGAUUAAGAUAUAUUUUAGGUGUAGCCGCUUAAAU
rnacentral:rRNA from 1 species